rnacentral:rRNA from 1 species
UACAGAGGGUGCUAGCGUUGUUCGGAAUCAUUGGGCGUAAAGGGCGUGUAGGCGGUUUGUUAAGUCAUGUGUGAAAUCCCUCGGCUUAACCGGGGAACUGCGUCUGAUACUGGAUGGCUUGAGUUUGGGAGAGGGAUGCGGAAUUCCAGGUGUAGCGGUGAAAUGCGUAGAUAUCUGGAGGAACACCGGUGGCGAAGGCGGCAUCCUGGACCAAUACUGACACUGAGGAGCGAAAGCCAGGGGAGCAAACGGG